GGCAAGGUUGUCAUCUGGACCAGUGGCAAAGGAGGAGGCAAGUGGGAAGGAAAGCUCAUGCGUGACUUCGAGGCUCCGGUGUGGAGGGUGUCCUGGUCCCUGACGGGAAACAUCCUGUCCGUGGCUGCCGGCGAGGGCGACAUAACUCUGUGGAAGGAGUCGUCAGACGGGCAGUGGGAGUCGCUGUGGACCAAGGCCUCAGAGGAGCCGCCGCAGGAGGAGCAGGCGAUAGAGGAGGCCAUGCAGUAGGAGGGGAGUCUGCGCCACAUCUCCCGUGUCGAUUUCGGACCGUGAUUCGUGUUUCUAGCGCCAAUGCCAUGACUUGCUUUCACCUGAUACUCUUAGAGAUACUCGUUGCCAUCUUUUUUGCCGUUUGUUUCUACAUGGACAAUGUCUGAUUGCACUUUUAAGUUUUAUACUGGUCAUGUACUCUUUGUGCACACCGUCAGAAUGUAUCGGCUGUUUGAACUGUUUAUAUCCUGCACUGGCUGUUAUCGGUGUUAUGUAUGCUCGUGUG
rnacentral:lncRNA from 1 species